rnacentral:rRNA from 1 species
AAAACGGAGAGUUUGAUCCUGGCUCAGGAUGAACGCUGGCGGUAUGCUUAACACAUGCAAGUCGAACGGGAUCUUAGGAUCUAGUGGCGGACGGGUGAGUAACGC